rnacentral:rRNA from 1 species
CCUACGGGGGGCUGCAGUAGGGAAUCUUCCACAAUGGGCGAAAGCCUGAUGGAGCAACGCCGCGUGGGUGAAGAAGGUCUUCGGAUCGUAAAACCCUGUUGUUAGAGAAGAAAGUGCGUGAGAGUAACUGUUCACGUUUCGACGGUAUCUAACCAGAAAGCCACGGCUAACUACGUGCCAGCAGCCGCGGUAAUACGUAGGUGGCAAGCGUUAUCCGGAUUUAUUGGGCGUAAAGGGAACGCAGGCGGUCUUUUAAGUCUGAUGUGAAAGCCUUCGGCUUAACCGGAGUAGUGCAUUGGAAACGGGGAGACGUGAGGGCCGAAGAGGAGAGUGGAACUCCAUGUGGAGCGGUGAAAUGCGUAGAUAUAUGGAAGAACACCAGUGGCGAAAGCGGCUCUCUGGUCUGUAACUGACGCUGAGGUUCGAAAGCGUGGGUAGCAAACAGGAUUAGAUACCCGUGUAGUC